rnacentral:rRNA from 1 species
AUUGAACGCUGGCGGCAGGCUUAACACAUGCAAGUCGAGCGAGCGGCGGACGGGUGCGUAAUGUCUGGGAAACUGCCUGAUGGAGGGGGUUAACUAAUGGACACUGUCUCUACUACCGACUCACAUCACCUGUUCCCAGAUGGGAUUAGCUAGUGGGGGGGGCAAAGGCUCACCUGGGCGCAGACCCCUAGCUGGUCUGAGAGGAUGACCAGCCAAACUGGAACUGAGACACGGUCCAGACUCCUACGGGAGGCAGCAGUGGGGAAUAUUGCACAAUGGGCGAAAGCCUGAUGCAGCCAUGCCGCGUGUGUGAAGAAGGCCUUCGGGUUGUAAAGCACUUUCAGCGAGGAGGCGUUACUCGCAGAAGAAGCACCGGCUAACUCCGUGCCAGCAGCCGCGGUAAUAC